UACGGGAGGAGCAGUGGGGAAUAUUGCACAAUGGGCGAAAGCCUGAUGCAGCUAUGCCGCGUGUAUGAAGAAGGCCUUAGGGUUGUAAAGUACUUUCAUCGGGGAGGAAAAAACAAAACUAAUAAUUUUAUUUCUUGACGUUACCCGAAAAAGAAGCACCGGCUAACUCCGUGCCAGCAGCCGCGGUAAUACGGAGGGUGCUAGCGUUAAUCAGAAUUACUGGGCGUAAAGAGCACGUAGGUGGUUUUUUUAAAUCAGAUGUGAAGUCCCUGGGCUUAACCUAGGAACUGCAUUUUGAAACUGAAAUACUAGAGUAUCGUAGAGGGAGGUAGAAUUCUAGGUGUAGCGGUGAAAUGCGUAGAUAUCUGGAGGAAUACCUGUGGCGAAAGCGGCCUCCUAAACGAAUACUGACACUGAGGGUGCGAAAGCGUGGGGAGCAAACAGGGAUUAGAUACC
rnacentral:rRNA from 1 species